CCCGUCUGCACUAAAAAUACAAAAUUAGCCAGGCAUGGUGCCACAUGCCUGUAAUCCCAGCUACUCGGGAGGCUGAGGCAGGAGAAUUGCUUGAACCCAGGAGGCAGAGGUUGUUGUGAGCCAAGAUCGCGCCAUUGCACUCCAGUCUUGGCAACAAGAGCAAAACGCUGUCUCAAAAAAAAAAAAAAAAAAAAAAAAUUUAAAACAGCAACAACAACAACACACGGUGCUAAUCAAAGAUGUCUGUGGGCUGAAUUCACUUCAAAGGCAGCUCCCAUUUGUGAACUUUAGCUUAGAUUUUACAAUUGUCUUUGUGAAUUAACAUUUGCCCUUGAAAGGUGUGUUUGCAUGUGUGGAUCUAGGUCAGUGUGUUCCAACAGUUACUGGCUGGACAAUUUUAAGGAUAAAGAAGCAUAUUUGUCACUCACAGUGGUGAGGAAACAAACACUUGGAGGGCCCAUGUACCCACCUGGGCUCUUCUGUGGCCUGGAAUACCAAAAGCUAUGACAAGUUUGCGAGAGUUGUCUGAAGCAUUUGGAGGUUUUUUUGACCAAAUAACUCAGACUUGGAGAAUGAACCACUGGGAGAGGCAAGAGAGAGUUCCCAGGAUGAGACCAACUCUGUGAGUAAUGACUGGAGGUUCCCAAAGACUUAAAAGAGCUCUACUUGCCAGCUCCUGCAUUAUACAUAAAUAGAAAGGAAGAAAGAUGAGCUAAAGAUCCUGGAAAGUAGAAAAUCCAAUUGUUAUUCUGGAUUCUAAACAUUACCUGUGUGGCCUUGGAUAAACUUGAAUCUUUUCAUAUAUAAAACAAAGGAAGUUGAAUUAAAUUAUUUCUAACCCACCCUCCAGUUGAAUAUUCUAUGAUUUCAUCUGACAAACCCUCCCUCUUUUCAUCCUUGUUGUGUGUGAAAUGCUCCAUCACUCAUCACAGAUGCUUAAAAUAAAAUAGCUCUCUCUCUGUAUAGAAUGUCUGCCUUUUUUUCUCCAGAUAGUCAUGGCACCAUGUUGACAUUUUAAAGAUCCAAAUGAAGAGACAAAGAAGGAAAUAAAUAACCCCCUAUAAUCCUAUCACCAAAGGAUUUUGUUAUAAUCUAAUAUUGCCUUU
rnacentral:lncRNA from 10 species